rnacentral:rRNA from 1 species
UACAGAGGGUGCAAGCGUUAAUCGGAUUUACUGGGCGUAAAGGGCGCGUAGGUGGUUGUUUAAGUGAGAUGUGAAAGCCCCGGGCUCAACCUGGGAACUGCAUCUUAUACUGGGCAACUGGAGUACAUGAGAGGGUAGUGGAAUUUCCGGUGUAGCGGUGAAAUGCGUAGAUAUCGGAAGGAACACCAGUGGCGAAGGCGGCUACCUGGCAUGAUACUGACACUGAGGCGCGAGAGCGUGGGAGCAAACAGG